GAAAAUGUUAAGCUGGAGCUGUAGGUCACAUCAUUUUUGGCCAACAAUCUUGUAUUCUGUGUGUCCUGAGUUGAACUUUGUUUGAAAGGGAGUAAAGUGGUGACUCAAGUGACCACCAGACUUCCAAAGAGGCUCAUGAAGGCACAGGUAAAAUUCUGCAUCAGGGAAAAAAGAGUGGUGUUAGCAGAAGACUGCUUGGAAACAUGAAAAGAAAGGAAGAGGAAAAGGAAAAAAAGAGGGAAAAGGAAAGAGAGAAGGGAUAAAAGAAAAGAACUAUCACAACUACUGACACCAUACUGCUCUUGAUGAAGGACUCUGGGUACUGGCAACUCACAGCAGCAUCACAUGGUAUGCACCCUAACUGUGUGAACAUUGACAUCCAGAUGCAAGCCUUCUCUGCACCCAGUUGGAAAAUAAAAAAAGGCCUGCUGCAUAAUACAGAGGCAACUGUUACAUUGGAGCUCCCUACUCCGGGUGAUCUGAACAGACUGUUCCAGGGCUUUGAUCCUGAUCUGUGUUCAAGUAGCACCUAUUUAUCUACAGUGAUUAAAAAGAGAGCAUAUGCUCUUAAAAGCAAAACAACACGCCUAGAGAUAUUUAUGCUAAAAAUUCUUCUGAUUUUCUAUUCUGCUGGCAGUAAUGUUAUGAGACUUGUUAGACUAACAGAAGAGGAAGGGAAAUCUAUAGGAAAAAGUCUAAAUCUGUUUAGGGGAAAAGUUGCCUAGAGAAAAGGGAUAAAAAAAUUUAAAAGCAAAGUAGGCUAACAUUUCUGAAUUGAUUGAAAGAACAAGAAUUUGUAAAGAUGUUAUGGAUUAAAGCUUAAGAACAAAAGAGCACAUAGGCUUAAUGGUGAGAACUUACAAAAACAAUUCAAUAUAAUGAAGCAAACCCAUUUUUUAAUUCAGUAUAACAGUGUGUGCUGAUAUAGCCAGGUCUAAUAUAUCAUAUACAGCUUCAAGAAGAUACAUAAUUUUCCACAGAUGUUUAAAAUGCUGUGAAAGUGAUUAAUUAUUAAUUAGUGAGUCAAUAAUUAAUGAUUAAUUAGGGAGUCAAUUAUUUGAUAUGCUAAAGGAAAGUGAAGAAGCAAAACCAUAUUUCAUGUCAGGUAGUGAGCAGUUUAUACAUACAUUUGUAAAAUGAAAAUAGGAGAACAUGACACCAGAAGGUGUAGAAUAGGAGACUGUAGAAUUGUCACUUGACAUUUUGAGGACAGCAGUCAUGUUUUCAGAGAUAUGCAAAAUAAAAAAUAACUUAAAAUGCA
rnacentral:lncRNA from 1 species